AGAAUCAACGCUGGCGGCAUGCCUAACACAUGCAAGUCGAGCGAGAAAGUGUAGCAAUACAUGAGUAAAGCGGCGCACGGGUGAGUAACACGUGGAUAACCUGCCUCAAAGUGGGGAAUAACACCGGGAAACCGGUGCUAAUACCGCAUAUUCUGAUGGAAUCUGAGGAUUUGUCAGUAAAGGAGCAAUUCGCUAUAAGAGGGGUCCGCGGCUGAUUAGCUAGUUGGUGAGGUAAUGGCUCACCAAGGCAACGAUCAGUAGCCGGUCUGAGAGGACGGUCGGCCACACUGGAACUGAGACACGGUCCAGACUCCUACGGGAGGCAGCAGUGGGGAAUUUUCGCAAUGGGGGCAACCCUGACGAAGCAAUGCCGCGUGGAUGAUGAAGUAUUUCGGUAACGUAAAUCCUUUCGGACGGACGAAACCGCAAGGUUGAACGUACCGUAGAAGAACGCCCGGACUAACCUCCGU
rnacentral:rRNA from 1 species